AGCGAACGCUGGCGGCAUGCUUAACACAUGCAAGUCGCACGGUUGGGGGCGAACCCUGGCAGUGGCGGACGGGUGAGUAACACGUAGGAAUCUAUCCUGGGUGGGGGGGACGAACAGCGGGAAACUGCUGCUAAUACCGCAUGAUACCUGAGGGUCAAAGGCGCAAGUCGCCUUAGGAGGAGCCUGCGUCUGAUUAGCUUGUUGGUGGGGUAAAGGCCUACCAAGGCGACGAUCAGUAGCUGGUCUGAGAGGAUGAUCAGCCACAUUGGGACUGAGACACGGCCCAAACUCCUACGGGAGGCAGCAGUGGGGAAUAUUGGACAAUGGGCGAAAGCCUGAUCCAGCAAUGCCGCGUGUGUGAAGAAGGUCUUCGGAUUGUAAAGCACUUUUGGCAGGGACGAUGAUGACGGUACCUGCAGAAUAAGCUCCGGCUAACUUCGUG
rnacentral:rRNA from 1 species